GACGAACGCUGGCGGCGUGCCUAAUACAUGCAAGUCGAGCGAAGCGGCGGAUGGGUGAGUAACGCGUGGGUAACCUGCCCUUAAGUCUGGGAUACCAUUUGAAAACAGAUGCUAAUCCCGGAUAAUAAUGGAUGGACCUGCGAUUCAUUAGCUAGUUGGUAAGGUAACGGCUUACCAAGGCGAUGAUGCAUAGCCGAGGUGAGAGACUGAUCGGCCACAGUGGGACUGAGACACGGCCCAAACUCCUACGGGAGGCAGCAGUAGGGAAUCUUCCACAAUGGACGAAAGUCUGAUGGAGCAACGCCGCGUGAGUGAAGAAGGUUUUCGGAUCGUAAAGCUCUGUUGUUGGUGAAGCGGUAAUCAACCAGAAAGUCACGGCUAACUACGUGCCAGCAGCCGCGGUAAUUC
rnacentral:rRNA from 1 species